GAGUCUGGAGAAGGAUGGUCCCUGGUUGAACUGAGAACUGGGAAUAAAAAUAGCCACUUUUUCUUGUUCCUUGUCCUGCUCUUGCCAUGGGCAUGAUGGAGCAGAAAUUACAUACGACUCAUUUGUAGCUAGUUCCACACAAGGCCAUAGGUCUUUUUCCUAGUGGCAGAUUUUACACACAUAUGGAUUAUUACUACCAUGAUAGUUCACUGUGCUUCUUACCAAUUUUCUUCCUGGUCUCAACUCUCUCCCUUAGUUUAAUGCACUGUUACAUAAUGCAGGAGGAGUGUGUUGGAUUAGGAGUCCUUGCUUCUUACUCACAUAACUAAGUUGUCAAGAUCCUAAAGUGGUCAUUACUGGCAUGACCUAUAUUCAGAUUUUUGGAUAUAUUCUGGAAUCAAUUCUAAAGUCAACAAAUUGAAUACUGGGUAAAACCCUUUCUAUAAGAGUUCUGGGAUUCAAGAUUAAUUCAAGAAGCCUUAAGUGCUCAUUCUUGGGAAUGACUUAUUAAUAAUUCAGAAUGGAUUAUAAAAGAAGUACAUCACCCUAUCCACCUAGCUUCAUUGUCAACAAGACCUGGACACCAACAAGAUAGUCAGAAGUGAAUGAGAAGGAAGUGAACCAAAAACUCGAACUCCUCUCUAGAUUGUUUUGGGGGACCUUUGACAUGAUAUGGCAUUUGAAAACUUCCCCUGGGAGGUGAAUUUAGGAAAUGAACCUCAUGUGUCCUUUCAUCCAUUGCUUUUAGACUAAUUGUUAUUGAACAGAAUUCUUGGUUCUCCAAGCCAGGAUACAGAUGAACCCUCAGGUAUUUUUCUCUGAACCAAUAGCUGACCUCUACCCUGCUCUUCUUCAGCGCUGGCUCAUCACAGUCUGCAACAGUCUUCAGAGGUGGCCUCAAUGCUGAGAGUCAUCAUUUCUCCAAGGCUUGUCACACUCUCUGAUUGUGGAUCAAAGUCUUCCUGCCUCUAACUGAAUUCAGACCUAUGUAUCUCUAGGAAGGGCAGUCUGUCUCUCUGCUGGGGGGCUAGGACUUGCCUUGGUGCCAUUUGGUGACAUAACAACAACAGAAACUCAAGGAACAUACAAACUUACAAUUAUAAUCAUUAUUGGUGAGAGAUAAGUGACUGAGCUAACAAGAAGACAUGCCUCUCAAACUUCUAGAAUAAGUAGACAUGGUUUCAAAGUGACGUUAGGCUUGGAGGCUGCAGUGUUACUAUUGUGCAGCUGUGUGGGAAGGACAAGGACAUGUGCCUCUGAGUUCGGGGUAUUUAAGUAAAACCUUCACCCUCUAGUCCCUGCCUUAUGCUUAUGAGCCAACCUUGUGGGUUAUUUCAAAUGAAACUUCCCUGUGGAUUUACCCAUGGCACUGUAAAUGCUGGGAUUUCUUCUUGGGCUGCAAAGUGUCAUACUGUGUAUAUACAUUCUGUUGAUAGGCCUCAGGUGCAGUGAAAAAUGCUUCAGACCACAUUGGAACUUGCUCACUUCCUUUCCUUUGAGUAAAUAUCAGAAAAGA